rnacentral:lncRNA from 1 species
CUGCAUUUCACUAAAGGAAACCGAAGCCCAGAUCUGGAAAGGGAUUUACCAAGUUUCUCCAGCAAGGGCCACAUCUGGCCCCAGUUUCUGGCUUCCACAAGAGAAGAAAUGCAAACCCGUCAACCAGCCCCCAUUCCUGUUGACCUCCAAGGGGUCAGGUGCAAAGGCCUGCCAGAUGAUUAUGGGAAGCUGGAACCCAGUAGGUGUGGGCCGCUACCUCAACACCUGGCUGAUGGAGACAAAGGACAGGCGGCAGCGAUAUCGAUCCCUAUUCCUGAGUGGAUCCAAACGCUACCUCUCAGACCUGGCCCGGGACAU